GGUGUCCCAGAAACCCAGGAAAUCGAGACUCAUGACUCCCAGAGAGGAUGGCAUCUAGAAGGCAUGCAGGGGACCUCCAAGCAAUGAUAUCCAAGGAAUUCCAUCUGGCAGCCACCCAGGAUGACUGCAGAAAAGGAAGGACACAGGAGGAUAUCCUGGUUCCCUCUUCCCACCCAGAGCUGUUUGCAUCAGUCCUGCCAAUGGCUCCGGAAGAAGCUGCCAGGCUCCAGCAACCUCAGCCCCUUCCUCCUCCCUCAGGAAUCCACCUAUCCGCCUCUAGGACCUUGGCUCUAACUCUAUUGUACUCGUCUCCUCCCUCCCAUUCUCCUUUUGGUCUCAGCUCCUUGAUCUAAGCCUCCCAGAGAGACCCUAGAACGUUUCCCUCAAGGACCUUUCUGCCUGGAAGUCUGUUAGCCUUUCAGAAGUAACAUGUCCAAAAUAAAAUUUGAUUCCUCCCA
rnacentral:misc_RNA from 1 species